AUUGCACGCUGGCGGCAGGCUUAACACAUGCAAGUCGAGCGAGCGGAGGACGGGAGAGUAAGGUCUGGGAAACUGACUGAUGGAGGGGGAUAACUACUGGAAACGGUAGCUAAUAACGCAUACCAUCAGUUGUUCCCAGAUGGGAUGAGCUAGUAGUUGGGGUAAUGGCUCACAUAGGCGACGAUCCCUAGCUGAGCUGAGAGGAUGACCAGCCACACUGGAAAUGAGACACGGGCCAGACGCCUACGUGAGGCAGCAGUGGGGAAUAUUGCAAAAUGGGCGCAAGCAUGAUGCAGCCAUGCCGCGUGUGUGAAGAAGGCCUUCGGGUUGUAAAGCACGUUAAGCGAGGAGGCGUUAAUCGCAGAAGAAGCACCGGCUAACUCCGUGCCAGCAGCCGCGGUAAUUC
rnacentral:rRNA from 1 species